GUAGGGAAUCUUCGGCAAUGGACGAAAGUCUGACCGAGCAACGCCGCGUGAGUGAAGAAGGUUUUCGGAUCGUAAAACUCUGUUGUUAGAGAAGAACAAGGACGUUAGUAACUGAACGUCCCCUGACGGUAUCUAACCAGAAAGCCACGGCUAACUACGUGCCAGCAGCCGCGGUAAUACGUAGGUGGCAAGCGUUGUCCGGAUUUAUUGGGCGUAAAGCGAGCGCAGGCGGUUUCUUAAGUCUGAUGUGAAAGCCCCCGGCUCAACCGGGGAGGGUCAUUGGAAACUGGGAGACUUGAGUGCAGAAGAGGAGAGUGGAAUUCCAUGUGUAGCGGUGAAAUGCGUAGAUAUAUGGAGGAACACCAGUGGCGAAGGCGGCUCUCUGGUCUGUAACUGACGCUGAGGCUCGAAAGCGUGGGGAGCAAACAGGAUUAGAAACCCCAGUAGUCC
rnacentral:rRNA from 1 species